GCACCCAAAUUGGCCAAAAACUUCUGUGUCUGCCAUGUGGCUACUGUGGAUAUGCUUAGGGCCAUGGUAGCUUCUGGCUCUGAGCUGGAGAAAAAGCUAGAGGCAACCAUGGAUGCUGGGAAACUGGUAAGCGAUGAAAUGGUGGUAGAGCUCAUUGAGAAGAGUUUGGAGACCCCUUCAUGCAAGAAAGGUUUUCUUUUAGACGGCUUCCCUCGGACAGUGUGGCAAGCAGAAAUGCUCGCUGACCUCAGGGAGAAGAGGAAAGAGAAGCUUGACUCUGUGAUUGAAUUCAGUAUCCCUGAUCUCUCAUCCGGAGAAUCACAGGAAGGCUGAUCGACCCUAAGAGUGGCCGCUCCUACCACGAGGAGUUCAACCCCCCGAAGGAACCCAUGACGGAUGAUAUCACUGGGGAACCUUUGAUCCGCCGAUCAGAUGAUAAUGAGAAGGCCUUGAAAAUCUGCCUGGAGGCCUACUAUACUCAGACCAUCCCUCUAGUGGACUACUACCAGAACCAGAAAAGGGGCAUACACUGGGCCAUCAAUGCAUCCCAGACCCCUGAUGUCGUGUUUGCCAACAUCCUCGCAGCCUUCUCCAAAGCCACAUUCUAG